ensembl:lncRNA
GCUGGUCUCGAACUCCUGGCCUCAGGUGAUCUGCCCACCUUAGCAUCCCAAAGUGUUGGGAUUAAAGGCUUGAGCCACCAUGCCUGGCCUUCAAUAGCUUUAUAAUCAUGUGUUACUUCAUAGCUACCUGUUUUCUAAAUGGGAAGAAGUUCUUCACAUGAGAGUUUAUUUUACUAGUGAUAGAUAAAGCUUCUACUCUCUUCAGGGACUUUCCUUAAAGUUGACUUUACUGUAACAACAGACAUUUCUUCAGUUUUCAGUUUUAUUGCUAUUUCUGCUAGAACACCUCAUCCACCACCUUGGCCCCAUAAAUGAUAGUGGUCUCUCAAAGCAUGCCCUACCAGGCAAAUGAAGACUGCCAUUCAGACUUUGCCUCCAGCAAUUACCUAGGAUUCCCUGGAAUGAGAGGACUCAGUGUCAUUAUCCCCUCCAGAAAACAGUCAGUCCUGAGCGUGCAGGGUUGCCAGCCUCAAUUUCAUCAUUUGCUUUUCUGCUUUUAAAUGUUUGCAAACAACCACAGUCCAUGUCACAUGUUUUAUUCUUUUUAGAUUAAUGAGGUGGCCUGUUCAAGUUAGACAGGCCAUAUUAAUCUCAGUGAAUGCAGUCCUUAGCACCACAGAAGCAAACAAAUGAUUUUAACUGGACAAAGUCUUGGCAUAGUAGGUGCAUAAUUGUUGCUUUUUGAAUUUGACUGGAGAGAGUGAGAGUUGUGAUUUUGAUUCUCCAAAAGCAGACUCUAUGAGCACCAAGUAUUUUUAGGUCAUUUAGAAAGUUUGUUGUUUGAACAGAUGAGGAUAAGACAUCAAUUUUUGACACUGCACCAAAUCUGCUUUAUUUCAAAAGGAACUAACUAAACACUUCAUCACAGAAGUCCUGACAAAGAUGCAUGGAUGGCUAUAUUAACAAGAUUGUGUCAGGAUGAAUAAUAAUACAUGGCUGUACUGAGAAUCCAACGUAAAUUUCCUUAUGUAAAAUAGUGAUUUGUUUAAAUGAUGAAGCGAAGAUAGCAUUGGAGCUGUUGGCUGACUGUCCCUUUUUUUCUGUUAACUGCAGAAGCACUGAAUCUGAUGCCCUACCUUGUGGGGUAAUGGUGUGCUUAUCUCCCCCUCUUCAAACAGUUUGGCACGUUGCUAAUAACAGCCAGCCUACUGCUAAAAUAUCAUCAAUGACAGAACAGAAGAAAUGGAUAUUUAGGAAAACAUAAAGCUGAGGAAGUAGGCCAAAAAAAAAAAAGGGCUGAUAGAAAGCAAAUAAAGGAAAGAUCUAUAAUAUUGGGGCAGGCAGCAUCUCCCUGCUUGCAGGGUAAUUUUAUUUAGCUAGUAACCAACAAGGACGCCUGCCAUGGGAAGAAGGUGUGAUUUUGUGAUUUAAUGAUCCAAAGCCCAUUUUUAGACACCACUUAGCCAUAAAGAGGCCCAAAGGUUCUGUGGCCCAGGAGUCGUUGAGAUAAGUAUUUACGACAAGGUCCACCCAAACACAAGGGAACACAAGAAGGGGGCAUGUCAGGCACAGGGAAUUUUCACAAUGGCUUACAAAGGCAAGUCUUACCCUCACCUAACACAGUAAUUCUCCACACUGGCUGCAUGUUAGAUCCCCACAGAAGAGCUUUUAAAAUUCCCAGUCCAAUAUUCUUGGAAUUUGGAGAGUAGGAGACCCAGUCAUCAGUGGUUUUUAAAGCUCCCCAGUUAAAUAUUUAACUCCCCUGUUUGAAGAGGGGCAGAUGGGCCGAGAUUAAGAACUACUGACCUAAAGCAACAUGAUGUAUAGACAGGCAAAUCAUUUGUGGAACUCAGGCCAGUGAAUUGGCCAUCUCCCUAAAACAAUUCAAAUUGGAGAAAAUUCUGUACAAAUAUAAUAGUGAUGUUUUAUAUGUGUAUAGUAUUUUAUAUUUUAAGGUGUUUUUAUGUUCGUGUGAGGGUGCGCUCAGGAAAAUGCUUAGCAUCUUGUAAAACUGUGCAAAUGUUAGAUAUCAUCAACCCAGUAUUAUAAUUGAGAAAACAAGCAGAGUGCAAGUGUAGGACUUAUUUGGAGUCUCACGAAAGAAGUGACUGGCAGAGCCUAAAAUUGGGGCACUGGACACUUUCGUAUAUUCUUCUAUCCUGGGAAUCAUGAUUUCCUUUGAAGAAUGCUAUAAAAUGUUGACCAUAUUUUUGUCUGUUAUGAACUGUGAUUGGCCUCACACAGAAAUAAUGAAUUCUUUUAGGUUGCUUUUGGGAUGUGUUACUUUGGUAUCUCAAAUCAGUAAUAUAAUCACAAGUGAAACAAACUGUCAAUCUUGUCUAAAGUUUCUAAGUUAGGGUUGUCCUGCAUCUGCACCAAAUAUCAAAGGUUUAAGAAAGAGUACUGAGAGGGAAAAUUGAGAAUGAAGAAAAUUUUAUCCAUUAACUUAGUUUCUGUUUUUAUAAACUGGGAUAGAUUGAGAUUGUUAUUUUCUUUUUAUGGCUGAAUGUUUUGGUACAACUCCAGAUAAACUGGUGUGGAGAUGGAUAAUCUUGAGUAUAGGAUAACAUUGCACCAGCAGAUUCCUAACGGUUGACUUAGUAAUCAAUGGAUCCCUCUUCCCAGGCCUCAUCAGGGCCCCUCUUCCUUAAUACUUGAAGUUUUGAGUCAAAACUACAUGGCAUUUAUUGAACACCCACUGUCAGAUGUUUUAUACAUGGUCUGUCAUUUAAUCCUCAACCACCCUACCAGGUAGUUGUUACCUUUGCUUCAUAGAUGAAGAACAUUGAGACUCAAAGAUUAUGUAACUUUUCUGAAUCUAAUAUCUAGUGAGUGGCUAACUAAGACUAAGCGCUAAAGGUUGCCUCUGCACUUCAAGUCAUUCGUUCUGGGAAGAGCCCCAGCUUCCAGUUGCCCAAGUUUCCUAGCCAUUCUGGUGAAUGCUGCUGCAUAAGCCCUCUCUUAAGCUUUGGGUAGAGAUGAAUCCCCUCCCCUGUGUCAUACCGGAAGACAUGGCAUAGACAAAUUUUCUGGGAGGCAGUUUCUCUCAUGUAUCUAAAAGAAAAGAAAGUGUGCAUUGUGUCCUUUAAGUUCUCCACCUCCCUUUUCUCCCAUUACCUGAGCCAGGAAGAGAGUUGAAAGAAGAUUGCCAGAGCUUGAAUGAGGGUGGGCCAAUUCACCUACUGGACUGCAGAACUCUGGGGGAUGCCAUUCCUAUUUAUAUUUGAGUGAAAUUGCAUAUUUUUCAGGGCUGUCUUCACCAUCCUCAAAGGGGAAAAGGGUUGAGUAUGUAUUGGAGGGGUUGAGUGCUGUUGAGGAUAAAUUAAAAAUAAGGAAAACAUUUACCCAUUCACUCCAGGUUGCUGGUCGAGAUGGUCAUAUGUACCCUCUCAACCAACUCCAAAAUUAGACUUGAGCAAGAGUCCUGGGCCUAACAGUUAUUGAUUAGACCUGGAAAUAGCUCUGAGCAGUAAAACGUGAAACUUGUUUGUUUGUUUUUUUAAUCUUGGAAAUUUUUCCUUAUUAGUACUACAGAGCUACGUCUGAAGGCUCUAGGGGAGGAUUCUUUUUGCCUCUUUCAGCUUUGUGGGGACUCCAGUCUUUCCUUGGCUUGUGGCUGCCUCUGUUUUCACAUGGCCUUCUCGAAACUUUCUUUAAGAAGACAAAUUCUUAGUUUCUGGAAUAUCAAAGAAGUCAUAUAAGCCACAACUGCUGAGUCAUCUAAGGAUUGAUUCAAAAUUUAAUUAAAGAGAGUUCUUGCAGCUUUUUCAGGACGAUGUUCCAAUUUUCUCUCCACCUAACUAAGUGGUAAGGUACAUUGGACAGGGCAGAGAGGCACUCUUGACUUCUGCAUGUCUCUUCGUGGACAGGCAGACCUAGGAAGAAUAUCCAUGGAUGACUCAUUUCUCCUCUUGAUAAAUUAGGUUGAUCUGACCAACUUUAAGAAAUCCUGUAGUGAUCCUUUUCUCUUACUUUAAGCAGAAAGUGUCUGAAUGUCGUGUUGCCCUUAAAGCAUAACAUUACUUACGUAUUUCCCAGCUGAGAAUGCAUAACCUGGAUCUAAUCAUUGAGAGAUAUUAAAUUCCGCCGAAAGAAAAAAAAUGUAUUUCUCCACACUCCUUGGUGGCCUCACAUGUACACAUCCCCAGGGUUCACCCACCCCCUGACCUUGACCCCUCCUUGUGAGCUCAAAAAAAAAUAGAGAAGAGGAUGUAUUCCUCAGAAUGUCAAAUGUGUGUCUUUUAUGGCAAAUCAAACCACCUUUCAAAAGAGAGGAAAGGCAGACUUGGUAGCGCGCCUUUGACCCUCUCUCAAAAAAAAAAAAGACAGGAAGGAAGAAAGGGAGAUCAACUGGAGGCUUUUGCGAGUGGCUGAUUUGAAACUGGAACUGUAAUUCUUAGGUUCCACUUUAGUUUACUUAAAUUUACUCCCUCCCAUUUAU